rnacentral:rRNA from 1 species
CAUCAGAUAUCGAAGCCCGGCAAGGGUUUUCGAUACUCCUGAUGCGUAAAUGUUUCAUAGAGUUACGGCGGCCAUAGCGACAGGGAAACGCCCGGUCCCMYUCCGAACCCGGAAGCUAAGCCUGUCUGCGCCGAUGGUACUGCACUCGACAGGGUGUGGGAGAGUAGGACACCGCCGAAC